GCUCACUCAUAGCUUAGCUAGCCUUUUAUUCUUAGCUAGCCUUGGAUCCACAGACAAUCUAGUCGCGGCAGUCGACGAACUGGUAGUUGACGUUGAGGUGGCCCUGCUGGAACCCGAUCCCGUUGGUGUCGAUCUUGGCGAAGACGGUGUCCCAGUCGAGGUCGAGCCCGCCGUUGGCGCACUUGUCCACGAUCCUCGCCGUGAUCUGCGCCCCCGUCGCCGGGUUGGUCACCCGGAGGCACUUGCCGCAGGCCGCCUGCCCGAGGGGGCCGGCGGGGCCGCAGAACGCCGUCCAGCCGUACUUGCUCCGCCACGACAGCGGCUUGCUGGCGUCCCAGGUCGCGCAGUAGGCGCUCACGGCGGGCGCGCCCAGGUCCCAGUUGUUCUGCGCCGGCCGGUAGUAGUGGUACGUCGCCCGGACGUUGUUCGCCUGCUGCGCCGUGGCCAUGGCCGUCGCCGCGCACAGGAGCGCCGCCACCAGCAUCAGGCGUGCCGCCAUCGUCGUCGACCGCAGUGAUCAGU
rnacentral:lncRNA from 1 species